rnacentral:pre_miRNA from 1 species
AGUUGGAGGAUUGGGUCUCAGCAUUGGACGAGCGGUUUGUGGAGUGCCAGAUCUAACUCUUCCAGCUCA